CAUAUAUCUCCUUCGUCCGAAAAUACUUGUCGAAAAAAUGGUUGUAUCUAGAUAUAAUUUAGUUCUAGAGACAUUCAUUUCUAUCCAUUUUGUAAUUAGUAAUUUCGGACGGAGGAAGUAUUAG
rnacentral:pre_miRNA from 2 species